CAGAUGAACCGCUUCUAAUAGUCCAUUGACUUGGACAAUACUUUUAUGAUCUGAUCUCAAAUCAGGUAGGACUACCCGCUGAACUUAAGCAUAUCAAUAAGCGGAGGA
rnacentral:rRNA from 1 species